GUAUGUGGCUCAAGCGGUAGCACGCUCACCUGGCAUGCGUGCAGCCUGGGUUCGAUCCUCAGCACCACAUACA
rnacentral:tRNA from 1 species